UACGUAGGUGGCAAGCGUUGUCCGGAAUUACUGGGUGUAAAGGGCGUGUAGGCGGGAAGGUAAGUCAGAUGUGAAAUUCCGGGGCUCAACCCCGGCACUGCAUCUGAAACUAUUUUUCUUGAGUGCUGGAGAGGAAAGCGGAAUUCCUAGUGUAGCGGUGAAAUGCGUAGAUAUUAGGAGGAACACCAGUGGCGAAGGCGGCUUUCUGGACAGUAACUGACGCUGAGGCGCGAAAGCGUGGGGAGCAAACAGG
rnacentral:rRNA from 1 species